rnacentral:rRNA from 1 species
UACCCGCAGCACAAGUGGUGGUCAUUAUUAUUGGGCGUAAAGGGCGCGUAGGCGGCUUUUCAAGUGACGGGUGAAAUCCCUCGGCUUAACCGAGGAACUGCCUGUCAGACUGGAAGGCUUGAGACCGGGAGAGGUGAGUGGAAUUCCCAGUGUAGCGGUGAAAUGCGUAGAUAUUGGGGGGAACACCAGUGGCGAAGGCGGCUCACUGGACCGGAACUGACGCUGAGGCGCGAAAGCGUGGGGAGCAAACAGG